rnacentral:rRNA from 1 species
GAUGAACGCUGGCGGUAUGCCUAACACAUGCAAGUCGUACGAGAGUUUUUAACUCUAGUGGCGGACGGGUGAGUAACACGUGAGAAUUUGCCUUUAGGAGGGGGAUAACAAUUGGAAACGAAUGCUAAUACCCCAUAUGCUUUUGAGUGAAACGGAUUUAUCCGCCUAGAGAGAAGCUCGCGGCUGAUUAGAUAGUUGGCGGGGUAACGGCCACCAAGUCUACGAUCAGUAGCUGAUGUGAGAGCAUGAUCAGCCACACGGGCACUGAGACACGGGCCCGACUCCUACGGGAGGCAGCAGUAAGGAAUAUUGGACAAUGGACGCAAGUCUGAUCCAGCCAUGCCGCGUGAAGGAUUAAGGUCCUCUGGAUUGUAAACUUCUUUUAUAAGGGUACGAAAAAAGGUACUUUCUAGAUCGUCUGACGGUACCUUAUGAAUAAGCACCGGCUAACUCCGUG